rnacentral:rRNA from 1 species
GAUGAACGCUGGCGGCGUGCCUAAUACAUGCAAGUCGAGCGGACCAAAGAGAGCUUGCUCUCUGAGGUUAGCGGCGGACGGGUGAGUAACACGUGGGUAACCUGCCUGUAAGACGGGGAUAACUUCGGGAAACCGAAGCUAAUACCGGAUGAUAAAGAGAAACGCCUGUUUCUUUUUUGAAAGUCGGCCUUGUGAUGACGCUUACAGAUGGGCCCGCGGCGCAUUAGCUAGUUGGUGAGGUAACGGCUCACCAAGGCGACGAUGCGUAGCCGACGUGAGAGGGUGAUCGGCCACACUGGGACUGAGACACGGCCCAGACUCCUACGGGAGGCAGCAGUAGGGAAUCUUCGGCAAUGGACGAAAGUCUGACCGAGCAACGCCGCGUGAGCGAUGAAGGCCUUCGGGUCGUAAAGCUCUGUUGUCAGAGAAGAACAAGUACCGGAGUAACUGCCGGUACCUUGACGGUACCUGACCAGAAAGCCACGGCUAACUACGUGCCAGCAGCCGCCGUAA